UACAGAGGUCUCAAGCGUUGUUCGGAUUCAUUGGGCGUAAAGGGUGCGUAGGCGGCGCGGUAAGUCGGGUGUGAAAUCUCGGGGCUUAACUCCGAAACUGCAUUCGAUACUGCCGUGCUUGAGGACUGGAGAGGAGACUGGAAUUUACGGUGUAGCGGUGAAAUGCGUAGAUAUCGUAAGGAAGACCAGUGGCGAAGGCGGCAUCCUGGACCAAUUCUGACGCUGAGUGAGCGAAAGCCAGGGGAGCAAACGGG
rnacentral:rRNA from 1 species